UGGGGAAUAUUGGGCAAUGGGCGCAAGCCUGACCCAGCAACGCCGCGUGAGGGAAGAAGGUCUUCGGAUUGUAAACCUCUGUCCUUGGGGACGAAAAAAAUGACGGUACCCAAGGAGGAAGCUCCGGCUAACUACGUGCCAGCAGCCGCGGUACUACGUAGGGGGCGAGCGUUGUCCGGAAUUACUGGGCGUAAAGGGUGCGUAGGUGGCCUUUUAAGUUGGAUGUGAAAUACCCGGGCUUAACCUGGGGGGGUGCAUCUAAUACUGGGAGGCUAGAGUGCAGGAGAGGGAAGCGGAAUUCCUAGUGUAGCGGUGAAAUGCGUAGAUAUUAGGAGGAACACAAGUGGCGAAGGCGGCUUUCUGGACCGUAACUGACACUGAGGCACGAAAGCGUGGGGAGCAAACA
rnacentral:rRNA from 1 species